rnacentral:rRNA from 1 species
UACAGGGGGUGCAAACGUUGCUCGGAAUCAUUGGGCGUAAAGCGCACGUAGGCGGUCUGUUAUGUCGGAUGUGAAAGCCCUUGGCUUAACUGAGGAAGUGCAUCCGAAACUGGCAGGCUAGAGUACUAAAGAGGGUCGCGGAAUUCCCGGUGUAGAGGUGAAAUUCGUAGAUAUCAGGAGGAACACCAGUGGCGAAGGCGGUUCUCUGGGCAUUACCUGACGCUGAGGAGCGAAAGUGUGGGGAGCGAACAGG